CACAAGAGGAAAAAGGAAGAUGAUGAGUGAGUCCACACUGAAAACUAAUUCCUGAGGUGAGAGGUGCAAAGUACAGAACACUCCUUACACAAGGCAUGGCUCACUUAACCUCAUCCCACACAAACAAGAGCCUGCCUGGCAAGGCCCUCCUAAAGGGUUGAGAAAAUAUUCUCCUUUGAUAUAACAUACAACAUACAUGGGUCAGUAAAAGGCAACUACUCCUGAGUUCCACAGACAUUGUCUUAUUAUAGCUCAAGUGUGACCUCAUAGUCAUGUGCUUGUCUACCAGGCCGACCCUCCAAAAAGGUUCUGAUUGCCCACGUGUGUGUGCGCGAUUUUUAUAUGUAAGGAAAUUGAAUUUUUGAAACCCAGUACCUCAAAAGAUACUGAGGAAAAUGUUGUCUCCAUGAGUUGGAAGAAUGGCGCUCUGGAACGGAUAUAUUCUUUUUUCUACUGUGGGUCUUGGAGCGUUUCCUCAUCAUUCUGAAACCAAAUGUCAUUGGAAUUUUCUGGUAGGACUCCACCAAGUAGGAGGGUUUCUUUCCCCAUCUCACAAGUGAAGAAGCCGAGGUCCAGAGAACGUAACAUGGCGGGUGCCGGGUCCCAGGGCGGAUGCUCACUGCGCCUGCGCUGGCUGUGUUUCCCACCCCCCGGCUGCUGCUGUCCCUGCCGAAUCUUGCUGUGUGCGUUGAGAUCAGAAAAUGGACAAUUUUUCUCAGCUCCUCGGGCUCCAAGGUGCUGGCAACACGUGAAGGAGGGAGCUAAAAGGGCCCACAUAGCGCAGUGGGAUAUGGAUUCCAGCUGCUGGGAGCUGGGAGCUUCUCAGGGAAGAGGCAGCGUAGGAAUUGGUCCUUGAGGAAUAGCAGAAUCUGAGCAGCAAUGGAGGAGAGACCAGAAGGUACCGAAUCCCAAAAUGGAUUUAAGGGCAACAGCAGCGUAUGAAACAGUUGGGGUGAAUGGACAAAACACGGCAAAGCAAAUCGCCUCAUGGCAUUGGGUGUCAGACAGAACCGAGUGCACAUUCGGGUGCUUUUGCUUAUUAACAAGAAGACUGUGAGAAACUUCUCUUUGUAGCCGUAGUUUUUUUUUACUUCAUGGAAUUCUUGGGUGUAGAGUGCCCGGCCAUAGCUCCCUAAAUGGAUCUCUUCCUACACGGAUGGGCUGCUGUCUGUUUCUGCAGUGCCAGGAUGUCUUCUUUCUGGCGCCUCCAGACGGUGACCUAAACCAGCCUGUGAACUGUGCUCAGUUAUGUGGGGAACAUCCUGGAGACAGUUAUGUCUGGUGCACCGGCUGCUGGCCCAACUGUGAUGAGGUUAAAUAUAACAUCGAUGACUUCACGGGAGCCUGCUGGAGCGGCUGUGCCUCCUGGCAUGGCGCCUCCUCUACCCACCGUCCUGUCCACUGGGCAGUGAGCAGCCAGCCAGCAGGUGCAGCUCCUCAUCUGCGGAGCCUCUAAAGGACCAUCCUGCUCUAAGAUGUCGGGAUUCCCCCACAGGCUAACAGGAGAAGGCAGACAUCAGAACUGUGGUUGCCAUUUCUUCCCUUAUUUCAGGCCCAAGUGUGUGGGCAUCACAUCACAUAUGUUCCAAAGAGUGGUGUGGGCCUUCUGUGACGGUUACAAAUGGCCCGGUCCAGGGCAGUCCUGGGGCUUGGGUGAGGUGGUGGAUGGCAGGGCUGGAACCAGAACCGGGUUUCCGGCCUCCUGGUCCUGUGCUGGCCAAGGCACAGUGCCAGGGCAGUCCCAUCUUGAUGGCACCAUUACUUAGAGUUCGUGACACCAACUCAGGGCCUUGUCAUUGUUGCUGCCAGUGUCCUGUGGCAGGAGGAGGGACAUGGAAUAGGCUCAUGGGCAACUUCCUUCCUGGGAGACAGUUUUGAACAAGCUCAGCUGACCGGGAAGAGUCCCCCAUGUGGUUCUUGGGGCUGAAAUAAGUAAAAUAAUCCCCACCACUAGCCCCAGGGAAAACAAAACAAAACAAAACAAAACAAAACAAAAAACCCAGGCAAAAUACCCAUUACAAAAUCUAAAACCCUCCUUUGUUGAAAACGAUAGUCCUGCUGUUGCUGUUCAAGGUCCACCUGUUUGCCACUCGGGGCCCACUGAGCCCUUGCCUUCAUUUUCUCCUUCAUUUACGGACUCGGUUCACCCACACAGCUCACAAACCCAGGUCGUCUAGGGCCCUGGAUGAUGGAGUCUGCAGAAUAAACCCCAUCUUCUCCUAGUUGUCACCACUCACCACACCCUCCUGUCCUUAUCUUUAUUCGACUCAAGAGACCAGCACUUACCGGGCAAGGUGCAUAGGUUUGUACCACUGGCUUUUGGGCUUCUGUGAUGUGCU
rnacentral:lncRNA from 1 species